UCAGAGAAGUUGCUGCUCCGCUCUUGGAGAAACUCCCUUGGAUAAAAUCUUCUGAUACUCACUCAAAGGAGUGGUAUCAAAUACAGGCAGUACUUCGUGUGAGCUUGGGGUGUUUCUUGUUUUUUGCAAUAUUUGCUCUAAUAAUGAUUGGCGUGAAAGACCAAAAUGAUAGACGCGACUCAUGGCACCAUGGUGGAUGGAUUGCAAAGAUGGUGAUCUGGCUUUUGCUUGUUGUCCUCAUGUUUUUCAUGCCUAAUGUCAUCAUCUCCAUCUAUGGAACUGUAUCCAAAUUUGGGGCAGGGCUAUUUUUGUUGGUUCAAGUGAUUAUAUUGCUAGACUUUACACACUCAUGG
rnacentral:misc_RNA from 1 species